GGUGUUGGGGAUUCCUGUGGUAACCCUCUGCCUUCUGGUGGGUUACUGAUUUCAAGAUCUGCAGCAUAAGACUGAAAAGUAUUCCUCUUGUUAUACAGGUGGGCGCCUAUUUAACUAAGACAUGAAAAUAUUCCUCUCAUUAUACAGGUGGGCGCCUAUUGAACUAGGACAUGAAAAUAUUCCUCUCAUUAUACAGGUGGGAGCCUAUUGAACUAGGACAUGAAAAUAUUCCUCUCAUUAUACAGGUGGGCACCUAUUUAACUAAGACAUGAAAAUAUUCCUCUCAUUAUACAGGUGGGCGCCUAUUUAACUAAGACAUGAAAAUAUUCCUCUCAUUAUACAGGUGGGAGCCUAUUUAACUAAGACAUGAAAAUAUUCCUCUCAUUAUACAAGUGGGCGCCUAUUGAACUAAGACAUGAAAAUAUUCCUCUCAUUAUACAGGUGGGCGCCUAUUGAACUAAGACAUGAAAAUAUUCCUCUCAUUAUACAGGUGGGCGCCUAUUGAACU
rnacentral:lncRNA from 1 species